AACAGGGUGCCUGAAUGGAGAGGGUGUAAUCCUACGUAUAUCUCAACACUGACAGAGGUCAACACCACAAAGAAAAGUCUUUUGAUAGUUGCACAUCUCGUUCUGUUUAUUACUGGCAUAAUAUUUUGAGACAAUGUCAAAUAAUUCAUAGGCUGCUGCAUAAACCUUUCCAUUUAGAGGUAAAAUUGAGCACUGGAAUCUAAGAUUUCUUUGAGUAUUCACAGAAAACAGCAAUCAAACAAAAGAAGGACGACUUGUGAAAGGCCAUCCCUGCUCCAAAGGGUUUUAGUGUUUACACAUGCUGACAUCACGACGAAUAUAACCGCUGUACACACUGUAGCUAUUAUACACACAAGCCUCCAUCAGACAUAUUAGUUGAGCUUAUAAAGGCAACACCAUUUGACCGUGUUAAAUUCAUUUUUGAACACAAAAUAUCUGAAGACAUUUAAAAGAACACUGACAGUAAAUGCGAACCAACACGGACCAUAAGUACAGAGACAAAGCCACCAUAACUCAAUCCCUUAAGUCAUUGUGAGUAAAGCAGCGUGUCAUCACGUCCUGUUCUGUAGAGUGCAGCCAUCUUAAAUAAGUUCAAGAUUAAAUACACCGUACAGUUUUCUUAAAUACAUAAUGUGUCCUUUAAGUUAAAUUUGCCGUUAAUUGCAUAAUGUUUCAUAACAACACAAAUGUCACUUGGCAUAUCUUUGUAUCUGCAAAGAAAUGUACAUAUUCUCUGUUUAAAUAAUAUCGAUAGUAGUACAUUCAAAAAUAGCAUAAUAGUUUGGGUAUUAUUGCGGUGGUUUCUUAAAUACGCUGCGGUGCAGGGUUCUCUCAGAGCCCUCUGGCGCCAUGGGCCUGUGUGUUCUGCUGCUCAGGAUCCAGACCUGAGGCCGCUUCGUCUGUGGAGUCCUCUCUCUGGUAUCCAGGCCUAGAGUCCACUCUGAGUCCUCUCUCUAGAGUCCUCUCUCUGAGUCCUCUCUCUAACGUCCUCUCUCUGGAGUCCUGGAGUCCUCUCUCUAACGUCCUCUGUACACCACAACAUUACUUCAUCCAGAGGCCCCAGCUACAGACUUCAACAACCCAUUUUUUUACACAGAAUCUUGUUUACAGAUAUUGUGAGACUGAGAUGAGUGAUGAAGCAAACACUUGAGUGAAUCUACGUGGCUGUUAGGGCCGCGCUGACUCGUCAGAGAUGGAGAUGUUUAUCCUGUAAACUCUUCAACAGUUUCCUUGGGUCCGUCAAAGUCAUUUUUUAUUGCUUUUCUUUCUUUCCCUUUUUUCUUUCUUUUGCACACUGCGCUAAAUAUUUUUCUGCUCCUUCUUCCUAUUUGGUUACCUUUGUUUGGAACGAGACAGCAAUCUCCUUUCCCCCCUCCCUAUCUCUCUCUCCCCUCUCUCCCUCUCUCUCUCUCUC
ensembl:lncRNA